rnacentral:rRNA from 1 species
CAGCAGCCGCGGGAACACCGAGGCCUCAAGCGUUGUUCGGAUUCAUUGGGCGUAAAGGGUGCGUAGGCGGUCGGGUAAGUCGGAUGUGAAAUCCUGGGGCUCAACCUCAGAACUGCAUUCGAUACUGCUUGGCUAGAGGACUGGAGAGGAGAUCGGAAUUCACGGUGUAGCAGUGAAAUGCGUAGAUAUCGUGAGGAAGACCAGUGGCGAAGGCGGAUCUCUGGACAGUUCCUGACGCUGAUGCACGAAGGCUAGGGGAGCAAACGGGAUUAGAUACCCCGGUAGUCCCUGUCUCUUAUAC